CAGCCGCCGCGGUAAUACAGAGGGUGCGAGCGUUAAUCGGAUUUACUGGGCGUAAAGCGUGCGUAGGCGGCUUCUUAAGUCGGAUGUGAAAUCCCUGAGCUUAACUUAGGAAUUGCAUUCGAUACUGGGAAGCUAGAGUAUGGGAGAGGAUGGUAGAAUUCCAGGUGUAGCGGUGAAAUGCGUAGAGAUCUGGAGGAAUACCGAUGGCGAAGGCAGCCAUCUGGCCUAAUACUGACGCUGAGGUACAAAAGCAUGGGGAGCAAACAGGAUUAGAUACCCCUGUAGUCCCUGUCUCUUAUAC
rnacentral:rRNA from 1 species